AUCUCAAUCUCCUUUCUCCCCUGCAUCCUUCUCCCACCUCCGGCCGCCGCCGCGGCCAGGCCAGCGUGGCGGCGCGCCAACCAGCCACCGCCGCCAUCCAUCCAUCCAUCUCCAGCACCACCUCCAUCCACCAGCACCAUCACCACCUCUCUCCUCGCUGCACCCUUGCUCUCGUUCUUCCCCAACCUCUGCUGCUCCUCUCCUCCGAUCUGAACUCUUCUGCCAUUUCCUGUGAUCCUCGCUCCUCCUCCUCCUUCUCAAUCUCUGCUGCUUCUUCUCCAAGACCCCAAGCCGCUGCUCUCUUCUUCCCUCGCCUCAAACUGCUGCUGCUCUCUUCUCCCCUACGCCUCCACACUGCUGCUACUACUCCUUUCCUUUGCUGCUGUCCCAUCUCCCCUUGCGCCCCUGCUGCUUCUUCUUCCCAAACCUUGCUGCUGCUCUCUUCUCCCCAAAACUGUUGCUGCUCCUUCUCUCCCGCGCCCCCUUGCUGUUCCUCACUUGCUGAACCUCUGCUCUGAACCUCCUCCUUCUUCUGCUCCUUGUCUGUGCGUGUGUGUUCAGAGAACACUUAGUGUUGAGACUCGUUGAAUUGUAAAUUGUUUUGCGCUAGAUUUAUAU
rnacentral:rRNA from 1 species